rnacentral:lncRNA from 1 species
GACUUAGGAUUUGAGCAUCUUUCUGUUAUGCUGUUGCCCCACUCCUAUUGCAAUACUCCCCUUCUUAAGAAAGUUUUUCUAGACUAAUGUCUAGAUUAAACUUCUUUUCUUUGACAAUAAUGAUGCCAUGACUUGGACAAAAUGCCCAUUGCCCCUGGGUCCUGCUUUCUUCACCCGGUGCUGCCUUAUUGGACUCUUUGUGCCUCUCCUUGGCUGGGGAAAUCAGAAUCCACAGUGAGCUUCAACUGAGAAUCUAGAAGAGAGUAGAUGGAAAAAUAUUUUUCCCUCCCCUCCAAAUGCAAGAAUAAUCUUACAUGAGUCCAGGAGGAAGGCUCAUUCCACACUAAGUGUUCUGAAUCAAAAGAUGAACACAAUACAGUGCCAUUCUUCAAGGACUUCACAGUCUACAGUAAAGGGAUAUAGUUAAACAAAUAACUGCAGAAUUGGAAAUUGGAGCUGAUGUGCUUGGAAGUGUUUUGAACAAGGGGCGUGACUGUGACUCUCUCUGCUUUUGCAAACUUCAGGAAAACCUUUACUCACAGGUGAGUUCCACCUGAGGUUAAUUUGAAG